AAGGAUUUAAGUUAAUAUAAACUCGUAGCCUUCAAAGCUUCAAAUAAUUUUUUUUUUUAAGCCUUA
rnacentral:tRNA from 1 species